GGUGUGCACAAGGGCUGGCCCAGGAGCGCAGGGGCGGGGCGAUCCCCAGGAGGCCAGUGGAAUGCUGCCUGUGGCUGGCGCUGCAGUCUGGCUGCUGGCUUCUUAAGGCAGCCUGGGCCCCUGGUGCAUAGUGUCUCCUGUGGUCCCUGAGGUCACUGUCCCUAGCCCCUCUGGCAGCAGCCCCUCUGGCAGCAGCCCCUCCUUCUCUUGGCUGCAGCCAAGGCCCCGGGGGUUCCAGGCCACUGUGUAGUCUGGGGCGGGGCUCCAGGAUGACAACUUGCCUCAGCUGCUUAUAUCUCAGGGAGUGCCAGGGACUCAGCUCCCUUCCCUUGGAAGUGCCAUCCUGCAACCUCCUGUAUCAGACAGGAAAAAAAUGAAAAGAAAGCAACCUGAAACUACAGACACUGCUUCCUAAUCUCGUCCACCAACUACAGACAUCCUCUUCACACAUCCUAGAAGCAGGAACUUCUGGUGGUGAUAUUCGAUGGCUCAUGGUCAAUAUUCUUCCAAAAAUGGAUAAUAAGAGUGGUGAGCAACACUGAAAGAGAAGAGAGGAAAUUCAUUUACUAACUCUUUCUGCAUGCUGUCAAAGACAGGGCUUGUCUGAAGAUUUAGUCAGGAUGGGCUAACAUCUGAAUUAGAGCCACGGCCCUCUUGGUUCACUGGCACUCCCAUACCCCAGCUCCCUGUUCAUGGGCAAACUCCACAUACAUGCCCAAUUCCCACAUUCCCAUGCAGGUAAGUUCCAGAGUGACGUGCAAUUUGAUUUAGAUUGCAAAUUCCAAGAGGGAAAAGAAGCAUAGCUGAAGUUGAAGUCGAUCCAGCCCCAGAGCACCCGCUGUCCUGAGAUUGGGGGAUGGUGGCAGUAAGGAUGGUGUGGCUCUUUUCCACACGUUCAUUCAACACUCAAGUGCUGGGCACCCUCAAUGACACAGGGUCCCUCCAGUGAAGAACUUUUAAUUAUGGGGGAUAAAAGAGAUAUCUCUAGUAACCAGACCUACAGAAUGUGAUUACUGUUUUCUUAAUUAUUAUUUAUAAAAAUGCUUGUUGUUCAGUGAUUAGUAUUAUUCUUUGUUUUUCUUUUUAUAUUUUUUCUUUUAUCUGUUUCAGAAUUAUCUUCUUCAAUUUAAUGUCAUCAAAGAGUACCUUCCCAGCAGUUCCGUGUGCCACGAGCCAUGUUACCCCCAUGGGCCAGAGAGGUGAGUAAGACGAGGCACUUACGGUCUAAUGAGGCAGAUCACAGACUUACACCGAAGAGCCUUCAGGUAUGGAAAACAUACUUGCCACAUUUUUCUCACUCAAAGUGUCUUUCUCAGAAUCCUUGUAUUGCUUUCCAGAAAGGAGAGGGACCUUUCAGAUCUUUCUUGGGAGACCAAAUUUUUACUCUCAUAACUGAAAUUUUAUUUCUCCUUAUGGGUGAAGUCCCCUCCAAACUCCUCUCUGCCUGAUUACUCUUCUUUCUACUGAACCCAGAGACCUUGCAGUGGUGGAACCAGCGGAAUCUCAUGUCUGUGAAUAAACCAGCGUCCCAGAGGUAGACUUCUGAGGGACUAAGGUGACGCUUCAGUAGCAGUCUUGGCUUCUAGAUCCAGAGAAAUUCCAGAGGAUCUUAUCUUAGUAAACACCACUGGAGACACAUCAAGUCACUGACACUCGAGGGCUGAUUAAUGUCAUGAUCCAUUUACAGUGCAGCUUGGUGAGAUCACACAGCUGAGGAAAUGGGAGUUGUGAUGGGUCAAGAAAGCCCAGGAAAAGAGAAACUGGAAGAAAUGGGUGGAAUGCCAGGGAGGGAAGCCACAUGAAGGAGAAAUGCCAGUGGACACCAAGGGGAGGAGAGAAGCGAGGCUCACUACCACUGCCCUGGGCCCGGGCACACUGACCCUCCUGGGCCCCUCCCCCACACAAAUGUCAGACUCACGGCCCAUGUAGCCUGGCAUAGAGAGAAGGAUGAGCUAGGCUGGAUUCAUUACUACAUAUUCAUUAUUGCUUUACUAAUUUUUUCCUCUGAUUUUAACAUAAAUUAAAGACACAGCAUUCUCACAGGCCCCUGAAAGCAUCGUGGGAAGUAGGCAGGAUGGCUUCCAGUUUAAGGGGCAGUGGUCCUGGGUACAGGACCCCAGACAGAGGUACCAAGGGUACCAAGAACUGGACACUCAGGUGCAAACUUUGGCAGGUUCCUAGACUCACACUUCUGUGGGGCAGAGACUGAGCCCCAGGGAAACCUCUGGUCUGGGAGCUACAGGGAAGCUCACAUUUCAUGACUACACCCAAAAUUAGGCCUGACUUUCAAUUUACAGAACCUUGUUCCUCUGUGGACCUGCAUGAUACAGAAAACAGUGUGAAACAGUCACUUACAAAUCGAAUUUAGCAUAUCGGAAAUUUCUGUUGAGGCCGUCGAUGGCUUUCAUGUCCUCUGGAGUCAAUUCAAAGUCAAACACCUGCAAGGAAUGAGAGACUCACAUUGACCUGUGCCCAGAGAGGAUGUCCCACGGGGAAGGGGCAGGAGAGCAUCAGGGGACGCAUGAUCCUUGUCAUCAGACUCUCGUGGACGUGGUCUGAGGUGUCUUCUGCCUGAGCUCUGCCCUCUCCUCCCAGACCCUGCUGAUCUGCUCCCCUUCACAAAAGAAAGACACACAACUUAUCAAUCGGUAAUGCUGCCAAGAGAACUGCUGGGGACAAAAAAAAAAAAUCAUUUAUUUCCAAACACAGGAAUGAUCUGGGCAAAAUUCCCUGCUGCCUUGACUUGAACAAAGGUUGCCAGGUGUUUUCUUCCUCACAGCCCCUGGAACUUGACCCAGCCUUGGCCAGAGCAAGCCUUGGAACAUGUGACAACCCCUCUCCAAGCACCUGUUGGCCUCAGGGAAAAGCAUUUCCUGACCAACUGCUUCUCCACACCACUUGCUCAUCUUGGGCACCCCAGACAGUGCCUAUUUCCAGCUGUGUUUACUCUUCCCUACAGAAGACCCUUUCUCAUUGAUCUUUGAGACACACAGAUCUCGUGUUCAGAGAGUUCCUCCUUUGACUAAAUCUCUCAAACUUAAGUUCAGAUUUGUUUUCUUUCAACAAGAUAUAGCCCCUGGUGGAGAGUCUCUUAAUGUUAAAACAGAGAGAACUUUAUCAAAAAGUACUAAUUUUAUGUUUCCUGCAGGAGACAAUUUCAUCAAAACCCAGGACCCUAUGUAACUAUCUAUGAUCUAGCUACCUAUUUAAUGUAUUUUGCUCUCUCUAUAUAGCUAUCUUUCCAUUAUGCAUCCAACCAUAAGUUUACCUGUUAUUGUUUUUGAAAAUGUACUCCAGAAGUAGUAUGGUUGUCAUAGGGGCAUCUAUUAAUAUAUAGAAUUAAAUGAAAAAACAACGUAAAAAAUAUAAGAUUUUUUUCUGUAUGGAUUAACAAUGAAAUUUAGAUUUACCUACUCAAUUUUUCCAUAAAUUAAUAAACUUAAUCUAUAGCUACAUUUUAAAGCAAAUGAAUUAUAAACAAUAGGUUUCAACUAUUACGUUUUAAAAAAAUAUGAAACUUAUGAAGAAGUUUAUAGCUCUCAUCUUAAUAUGGGAAAAAGCUAACAUAGUCUUUCAAAAUAAUUUUAACUUUCAAAAGAAAGUAAGUUGAAGCCCACUGAUUGAUCUAAGGGGACAGAGUGUAUAUGGGGAAGGGUAGUAACUUUACUCAUUGGCUAGUUAAUUUGGUGAGUCUAAAAGCAGAUAACCAGCGUCCUACCCGUCAAAAGCACAGAGAAAAGGUGGUCAUCCAUGACACAGAGGGGGUUGCACCCUUCAGGGUCUCACAUUAGAGAGAGGACACUGACAUGUAAGCCAACCAAUGGUAAGUUAAUAAAGAAAAAACUCACUAAUGGAGCCAUGCCUAGUACCUUCGUGGUCACAAAAUAUGCCAGGGUCUGCCAAUUGUUUAGGAAAGCAGCUAAAUUUAUUUGAGUUUGACCUUAAAAUACAAAUGAGGGUAUGUUAGGUAGAGAAGGUGAAAGAGAGGAACCAGGGUGCCUAAAGUACAUUACUGUAUACUGAUAGAAGAAUUCCUAGGAUUGGUGAAAAUAAUAGAAUGGAAAUUUGCUUAGGAACACAACUAGUAAGGGGCAAAGCCAGGCCUAGAGGAGAUAACCUGAGGACGCUGAGUCCAGAGGUCUCUCUUCCUGCCCUUCCAUGCUGCCCCUCCUGUAGCACACAGGGGGGAGGCAUGGGAAGGAGUGAGGCGUGGUGCAUGUUCCCCUGCAGGAGAGACCACUCAGUACAGCUCCCCUGGCUCACCCUGGACCUGUACCUGGAAGUUCUCUUUGAUUCUCUUCUCACCAAAGCUCCUGGCCAGGACCACUACGCCCCGCUGCAACUGGUAGCGUAGGGCCACCUGGGCUGGGCUUCGAUCGUGGUUCUUGGCAAUGGCUUUCAAGACUGGCUCCUCCAAGAGAUGUGGGCUGUCACUGUCCACCCUGAAAAAAAAAACAAACAAACACAACAAUAUAGAAUGUGAAGAAUUUAGGGUGGUAAAUUGAGAGUGUGCUACCCUUUUUUCCCAAAUUCCCCAGAGAAUUAAGAGUAGAUAUGAUACAGUAUGAAUACAAAGAGUCCCAUAAAUAUUCAUAGAGAUUCACCCAUAAUUUAAGGAAUCUGGAAACAACUAAAUUGCCCAUCAGCACAUGAAUGGAUAAAAACAUCUGGUAUGCCUGUCCAUAUGGUGGAACGUUACCCAGCAA